CUUGAUGAAAGAAACCAUGUCAAAUGAACUGGCAAGAAUGUACAAUAUGAAGUGGCUGAAGGGGAAAAAAAAGUUUGUGGGCCUCUAGAUACUGAAUGUAUUGUAUAAAUGUGUCCAAAGGAACUUGCCGACAAAGGCUGCAACGAGGAAGGAUGUUGAAAUAGAGGUUUCAAUGUGGCUGGCUAGGGCGCGGGACCGCGAUGGGGGAAGGAAAGCAAGAAACAAAGUGUCAGAGACCUUACCUGAAGAAAAUGAAGGAAGUGACUAGACAUGUUUUUAAUUUAAAAAUGCAAAUUUAUAGAGGAUAUUUGUUUGUUUGUGUGUAAGAUGAAAUUUUAUAUCAUCAAGAGAGCUUUAAAAACAGUAUUCUCAUGAGUGGCUAUGCGCUCGUGAGAACACUGUUUUUUAAAGUUCCUUCAAUGAUAUAAAAUUACAUCUUACACAACAAACAAUAAAGUGUCUUUUUAUUUUAUGCUAAUGAAAUUUCCUCAAUAUUAACGUUAAUAUUAAAUCUGUUUUCACCACUGUUAACAUCAAUUUUAGUUGAAUUUAAGUCCAAUUUCUCAUAAAUACAGGAAGUCUUGGGCUGAAAAAUAAGUUUGACAAUCAACGUUGAAUAGCCAUGAUAUUAUUUAUUGAAUUCAAAAAAUUUGAAUGAUGAUAAAAUCUUUAAAAAGUAGUCUCGUCAUAGAAAAGUUUGAAAUUUUAAUCAUUUCACUGUGAAAUUAUCAAAUAUAUUUUUCACGGAUACAUCAGUAAUACACUCAAAAGCAUAAAAUAAAUGACUUUUAUUUUACAUUUUCAAACCUUUACUUCAUCUGCAUAUAAGUUAUUCCACUGAUUGAAAGUCAAUAUGUAUCAAGGUAUUUUUAAAAUGUGAUAAGGGUCAGAACUACAGUAAGCGGCUCAUUUGUUUAUCUUGUUAUACUUUUUGUUGCUAAUUUUAAUGUUUGAGGUCAUCAGCAUAGCAUGUCUUUCUUGUAAAUGCAAAAUUCUUGUCUAGUCAAAUUUUGCCUUCUAGUCAGUAUAUUCUGCUGCUAUGUUACGUUAGUUGUUGACAUUAUAUGCUGUUUUUCUGUUGUCUAUAUGCUGUUUUUGUUGUUUUUUUAAUUAAACAUUGUUACUGCACGGAGGAAGGUAGUCUAGUACUGGUGUAACUCUCCAGAAACGAUGGUUAGGAAACUACCCGCCUAUAUGACGUAAAAGGCGUAAAAUGAAACAAACAAACAAAAUACAUUGUUACUAUUUAAAUCAAGACAUUAAAUGCUUGGGAAUGUUUUUGAUACUGAUCAAUACAAUUAUAACAUCUUGUCAAAACUUGACACUAACAGGGAACACAUGUAUUGAUAUGGUAUUAACCUUUAAAAUAAAGUUGAAAUACUUUACAAUGAUGAUUCUUGUAAUCUUUAUUGUUGUUAUUGUUGAAACUUUGAUAAUAUCGGAGAAAUUACUGAAACCAACUAUUUUUACUGACAAUUUUUUUAAUGAAUUUCUUCACAACAAAUUUGAUCUUUGUGUAAUAUCACAUUUUAAUUAUUAUUGAUUUUUACAAACUUGUACAAACUAUUUUUUACUUUUCAUCAGCUGCAUAUUUUGUUUACAUGUCUAUAAACAGUAUUUCAAUGUGCCAAGAUUUUGUGUAUUAUAUUUGUUACUUUUCAUUAGCUGCAUAUUUUGUUUACACGUCUAUUAACAGAAUUACAACCGUGCCAACCUUUUGUGUAUCAUAUUUGUUACUUUUCAUUAGCUGCAUAUUUUGUUAACACGUCUAUAUAAACAGUAUUACAACCGUGCCAACCUUUUUUGUAUUACUUUUUGUUACUUUUCAUUAGCUGCAUAUUUUGUUGACAAUUACAACAGUGCCAACCUUUUGUGUAUUAUAUUUGUUACUUUUCAUUAGCUGCAUAUUUUGUCCACACGUCUAUAAACAGUAUUACAACCGUGCCAAGGUUUUGUUAAUUAUGUUAAUUUUUUUUCAUCAGCUGCAUAAUAUUUUGUUUACACAUCUAUGAACAGUAUUACAACCGUGCCAAGGUUUUGUUAAUUAUAUUAAUUGUUUUUCAUCAGCUGCAUAAUAUUUUGUUUACACAUCUAUGAACAGUAUUACAACUGUGCUAAGGUUUUGUUUUAUUAUAUUUGUUACUUUUCACAAGCUGCAUAACAUUUUUUUCUUCAGCACUACCAUACCAAAGUGUAAUACAUGGUUGUAAUGAACAACUUUUUAUAUUAAUUGAUGUAGAUCUAUAUCAUUGAAAAUGAAAGUAAUCGGUAGAUAGAAAUUUGUAAUGAAUUACAGUAAAUGUAUAAUACUUUUUCUAUGAAUUAUGUAGAAAGUUAAAAAGACAUUUGGGGUCAUACUGUUGAUUCACUGAAAUUUAAACAUUAUACACAUAUAUUUCUUGGAGUUCCAAAGACCUUCUGUAAAGUUUUACCAGUGUCUAGCAUAAGUUUCAUUUUUCCUUAUAGUGAUCUGUAAGGUAUCUAAUGUUAUAAAACUGCAUUUUUAAUUAUUUUGUUCGUACAUUAUAAACAGUUUUCCAUUACAUGUUGCUUAUUUAGUGUACCAAAGUAAUAUUUACUACAUAGGACUUUUUGAAUAAUAA